AUUGAACGCUGGCGGCAGGCCUAACACAUGCAAGUCGAGCGGAUGAAGGGAGCUUGCUCCUGGAUUCAGCGGCGGACGGGUGAGUAAUGCCUAGGAAUCUGCCUGGUAGUGGGGGAUAACGUCCGGAAACGGGCGCUAAUACCGCAUACGUCCUGAGGGAGAAAGUGGGGGAUCUUCGGACCUCACGCUCUCAGAUGAGCCUAGGUCGGAUUAGCUAGUUGGUGGGGUAAAGGCCUACCAAGGCGACGAUCCGUAACUGGUCUGAGAGGAUGAUCAGUCACACUGGAACUGAGACACGGUCCAGACUCCUACGGGAGGCAGCAGUGGGGAAUAUUAGACAAUGGGCGAAAGCCUGAUCCAGCCAUGCCGCGUGUGUGAAGAAGGUCUUCGGAUUGUAAAGCACUUUAAGUUGGGAAGAAGGGCAGUAAGUUAAUACCUUGCUGUUUUGACGUUACCAACAGAAUAAGCACCGGCUAACUUCGUG
rnacentral:rRNA from 1 species